GAUGAAGAACGUAGCGAAAUGCGAUAAGUAAUGUGAAUUGCAGAAUUCAGUGAAUCAUCGAAUCUUUGAACGCACCUUGCGCUCCUUGGUAUUCCAAAGAGCAUGCCUGUUUGAGUAUCAUUAAAUUAUCAACUGUACCAAUUUGGUUGCAGAUUGGAUGUGGGAGAUUUUGCAGGCUUUUGAUUUCUCUUUUGAGAAAACGGUCAGCUCUCCUGAAAUAUAUUAGCAGUGCCUUUGUUGGUUCAUUAGGUGUGAUAAUUUAUCUACAUCUUCACAUGGUACCUUCAUUUGUGUAAAGGUCAUAUUGCUUCUAAUUGUCUUUGGACAUAAAAAAAAAAACAUAUAAUUGUAUGGAAAACUUGAUCUCAAAUCAGGCAGGACUACCCGCUGAACUUAAGCAUAUCAAUAAGCGGAGGA
rnacentral:misc_RNA from 1 species